rfam:Gossypium raimondii Chr05_contig_92, whole genome shotgun sequence.
GGAGAGAUAGCUGAGUGGUUGAUAGCUCUAGUUUUGAAAACCGGUAUAGUUCGAAACAAAGAAUUAUUGAAGGUUUGAAUCCCUCUCUCUCCU